rnacentral:rRNA from 1 species
GUUUGAUCAUGGCUCAGAACGAACGCUGGCGGCAGGCCUAACACAUGCAAGUCGAACGAGAAGCCACCUUCGGGUGGUGGACAGUGGCAGACGGGUGAGUAACGCGUGGGAACGUGCCUUUCGGUUCGGGAUAACCCAGGGAAACUUGGGCUAAUACCGGAUACGCCCUCCGGGGGAAAGAUUCAUUGCCGAAAGAUCGGCCCGCGUCGGAUUAGCUAGUUGGUAGGGUAAUGGCCUACCAAGGCGACGAUCCGUAGCUGGUCUGAGAGGAUGACCAGCCACACUGGGACUGAGACACGGCCCAGACUCCUACGGGAGGCAGCAGUGGGGAAUAUUGGACAAUGGGCGAAAGCCUGAUCCAGCCAUGCCGCGUGGGUGAAGAAGGCCUUAGGGUUGUAAACCCCUUUCAGCGGGGAAGAUAAUGACGGUACCCGCAGAAGAAGUCCCGGCUAACUCCGUGCCAGCAGCCGCGGUAAUA